rfam:Colletotrichum gloeosporioides Nara gc5 unplaced genomic scaffold scaffold1024, whole genome shotgun sequence.
ACAGGUGUUAUGAUGAUUCAGAUUUUUUUCGCAUAGUUCAGCUGAAUCUUUGUGAUGAGAACUUCUGUUAUAGUCUUUCGCUCCCAUCUGAUCGCACCUUU